ensembl:rRNA 5S_rRNA 5S ribosomal RNA
AGUUGUGGCCAAAUUUCCUUGUCAAUUUCUGAUCUCGUGAGAUCUCAGAAGCUAAGCAAGGCUGAGGCUGGUUAGUACUUGGAUGAGAGAUCACUGGGAAUUCCAGGUGCCACAGUAG